rnacentral:pre_miRNA from 18 species
UAACCCUUGUCGGACCUUUGUGGGUGUUCGCCUUUUCGGUGAAGUUACUGAAUGCUUCUUCACCGGGUUAACAUCUACAGAGGUCCUAAAGGGUUC